CUUAAUUCUGAAACCAAGGAUCACUGUGACUCCACAGAAAGCAAGUUGGCGAGAGUCCACGUGGCACGCGGCCCUUUCCGUUCCGGAGAAAGCCAGGCCCCACAGGAAGGAGCGGCUGCCGGCCUGGCCGCGCGGAGGGCGGGCUUCCCGCGCUCGCCCUGGAAGGGGAAGCUCCCAGGCGCUCCCAGGGGCCGCUCUCCUCGCCCUGCCGGGUUCCCUCCUCGGGAAGAAGGGCAGCUAUUAGCGACUCCUACUGAGGUGUCCCUUCUGGAGGCCGAAAGUCUGUGAUCGAAGUGUCAUCAGGCUGAUUUCCUCUGAGGCCUCUCUUUGGCCCGCAGACGCUGCCCUCUCGCUGUGUCCUCGCGUGGUCGCUUCCCUGUGCGUGUGCUCAUAAAAGAUCAACCUGGAGUGAACCAACAACCAUAGCUCGUAUCUUCAUAGGGCUUCUUUGCCCAAGAAAGGCUCCUUAAUGGUGAAAAGAAAAGAGCUGCAUUGUUGAUAAAAUGUUGCCAGCGUUUGUCUGCCAGACAACUUGGUGUAGAGAAUCACCAUGUUGAGAGCAGGGACGGUGUACCGCCUUCAGACGUCUGACAGCUGUGCACAGACGUCCACUAGGUGUUUGUUGACAGCCCAUCUGAAUACUACCUUUUUAAGGCCUCAUAACUCCUUAGUAGCCCAGUCAGGUCCGGGUAUGUUUCCAUGAGGACAUUCUCAUCUCCUGAAAUAGAGAGAGUGGAACAGGAAGUUUGGAAAACGUCUCUCUUUUUAAACAUGGAAUGGAUGAUUGAAAACAAUGACCUUAUUCAAUAAUCUAAGCAGAGUCUGUUGUCCAUGAAUCAUACUGCAUACAGAAAGGAUCCAGGGUAGAAUGGGAGCUAUAAAGAAGGAUCACCCAGCUUGGGCGCACGCGAGUAACCAGCCCAGGGUGCUCGGUCUUAGAAGACACUCUGGAAUCAGAGAAUGUUUAGUUCAGAUCUCUGUUUACUACUUACCAUUGGGGUGACCCAACGAACAAGCCUCAAUCUCUCUCUUUCCUCAUCUGUAAUGGAGGAUAACAACACCCACCUGAAG